UUGCUGUAGCCAAAUUAAAUUGAAGAAGUUUACUGGUUUUUGUGAGAUCCAUUUUGUGCCUCUGUCAACAAUUCUGCUUACCAAGCUUCUCACAUUU